GGUUGUGUAGUGUAGUGGUUAUCACUCUGGAUUUUGAAAUCAGAACCUUCCAGUAACCCCGGUUCGAACCCGGGCACGACCU